AGUGAACGCUGGCGGUAGGCCUAACACAUGCAAGUCGAACGGCAGCACAGUAAGAGCUUGCUCUUACGGGUGGCGAGUGGCGGACGGGUGAGGAAUACAUCGGAAUCUACUUUUUCGUGGGGGAUAACGUAGGGAAACUUACGCUAAUACCGCAUACGACCUACGGGUGAAAGCAGGGGAUCUUCGGACCUUGCGCGAUUGAAUGAGCCGAUGUCGGAUUAGCUAGUUGGCGGGGUAAAGGCCCACCAAGGCAACGAUCCGUAGCUGGUCUGAGAGGAUGAUCAGCCACACUGGAACUGAGACACGGUCCAGACUCCUACGGGAGGCAGCAGUGGGGAAUAUUGGACAAUGGGCGCAAGCCUGAUCCAGCCAUACCGCGUGGGUGAAGAAGGCCUUCGGGUUGUAAAGCCCUUUUGUUGGGAAAGAAAAGCAGCAGGUUAAUACCCCGCUGUUCUGACGGUACCCAAAGAAUAAGCACCGGCUAACUCCGUG
rnacentral:rRNA from 1 species